GCAGUGCGGCGGCUACACAUGCAGUCGAGCGGUAACAGGGGUAGCUUGCUACCCGCUGACGAGCGGCGGACGGGUGAGUAAUGCAUAGGAAUCUGCCCGAUAGUGGGGGAUAACCUGGGGAAACCCAGGCUAAUACCGCAUACGUCCUACGGGAGAAAGGGGGCUCCGGCUCCCGCUAUUGGAUGAGCCUAUGUCGGAUUAGCUAGUUGGUGAGGUAAAGGCUCACCAAGGCGACGAUCCGUAGCUGGUCUGAGAGGAUGAUCAGCCACAUCGGGACUGAGACACGGCCCGAACUCCUACGGGAGGCAGCAGUGGGGAAUAUUGGACAAUGGGCGAAAGCCUGAUCCAGCCAUGCCGCGUGUGUGAAGAAGGCCCUCGGGUUGUAAAGCACUUUCAGCGAGGAAGAACGCCUAGUGGUUAAUACCCAUUAGGAAAGACAUCACUCGCAGAAGAAGCACCGGCUAACUCCGUGCCAGCAGCCGCGGUAAU
rnacentral:rRNA from 1 species